CUGUUCACCACUGGCCAUAGAACAGCUACAAAUUCCUUAUAAAAAGGCUCGCAAGGAUGCCACACAUAAUGGUUUAACUCCGGAGAAUAUUACCCAGGUUAUACAGGCAGUCAUAAAUCCGCAAAUUGCGCCACAUGGAGCGGCAUGGACUGAUCCCAAACACCGUGUGAUCGGGGACGUGGAGGUGUAUGUGCCUGAGUCGCCUACAGAGACCGUCACUGUGCAACCGGAUGGGACUAUACAACACGCCCAUGGAGAUCCCCAGUGUGCGCCACCACCAGAGCUGACCGCCGACGAUUGGGCUGGUCUUGACGACAUCUCGUCCUGGACUUCAUCGUUGUUGGAACAUAUCGACUUCACUCCUGCGCAGUGGAUCGACUCUCCAGCUUCAUCCGUAGAGGCUACCACCAGUGCAGAGCCUGUACAACACCAUCAGCCUGCAGAUCCUGCAUCUGGACCCCUACAAGCCAUUCAAGACCCUAUCAGCGACCCCCCGUGCACCGUGUCAUGGGAAGCUGAUGUUUCCCCUCUGUGGUACAUGUGCCGCUGAGCUCAAUCAGACAGCCGCGUGUCAUCA
ensembl:lncRNA